CAUGUCCUUUUGAUAAUAAUUUAAGGUCUGAUCUGCUCAAUGAAAUUUAAAUUGCCGCAGUAUUUUGACUGUGCAAAGGUAGCAUAAUAAUUAGUUUUUUAAUUAAGAACUGGUAUGAAUGAUUGGACAAGAAAAUUACUGUCUCUUUUUUAAUUUUUAUUGAAUUUUAUUUUUAAGUGAAAAAGCUUAAAUUUUUGUAAAAGACGAGAAGACCCUAUAGAGUUUAAUAUUCUUAGCUAUUUAGAUAUAGAAUUUUUUUUUGUUAAGGUUUAUUUGGUUGGGGUGAUUUGAAGAUUGAAUUAAUUCUUUAACUAUAAAAUUAGUGAUUUCUAAAAUAAAAUUCUAUAAUUUGUAAGUUUAAAAUAAAUUACCUUAGGGAUAACAGCGUAAUUUUUCUUUAAAGUUCUUAUUAAAAGAAAAGUUUGCGACCUCGAUGUUGGAUUAAAAUUAAUUUUUGGUGCAAUAACUUAAAAAUUAGGUCUGUUCGACCUUUAAAAUUUUACAUGAUCUGAGUUUAAACCGGUGUAAACCAGGUUGGAUUCUAUCUUUAAAUAAUUAUUAUAUUUUAGUACGAAAGGACCAAAUAUUUGUUAAAUUAAUUG
rnacentral:rRNA from 1 species